rnacentral:rRNA from 1 species
UAGGGAAUCUUCGGCAAUGGACGAAAGUCUGACCGAGCAACGCCGCGUGAGUGAAGAAGGUUUUCGGAUCGUAAAACUCUGUUGUUAGAGAAGAACAAGGACGUUAGUAACUGAACGUCCCCUGACGGUAUCUAACCAGAAAGCCACGGCUAACUACGUGCCAGCAGCCGCGGUAAUACGUAGGUGGCAAGCGUUGUCCGGAUUUAUUGGGCGUAAAGCGAGCGCAGGCGGUUUCUUAAGUCUGAUGUGAAAGCCCCCGGCUCAACCGGGGAGGGUCAUUGGAAACUGGAAGACUUGAGUGCAGAAGAGGAGAGUGGAAUUCCAUGUGUAGCGGUGAAAUGCGUAGAUAUAUGGAGGAACACCAGUGGCGAAGGCGGCUCUCUGGUCUGUAACUGACGCUGAGGCUCGAAAGCGUGGGGAGCAAACAGG